rnacentral:rRNA from 1 species
UACACUCCUGCGGGAGGCAGCAGUGGGGAAUAUUGCACAAUGGGCGCAAGCCUGAUGCAGCCAUGCCGCGUGUAUGAAGAAGGCCUUCGGGUUGUAAAGUACUUUCAGCGGGGAGGAAGGUGUUGAGGUUAAUAACCUCAGCAAUUGACGUUACCCGCAGAAGAAGCACCGGCUAACUCCGUGCCAGCAGCCGCGGUAAUACGGAGGGUGCAAGCGUUAAUCGGAAUUACUGGGCGUAAAGCGCACGCAGGCGGUCUGUCAAGUCGGAUGUGAAAUCCCCGGGCUCAACCUGGGAACUGCAUUCGAAACUGGCAGGCUAGAGUCUUGUAGAGGGGGGUAGAAUUCCAGGUGUAGCGGUGAAAUGCGUAGAGAUCUGGAGGAAUACCGGUGGCGAAGGCGGCCCCCUGGACAAAGACUGACGCUCAGGUGCGAAAGCGUGGGGAGCAAACAGGAUUAGAAACCCCGGUAGUCCCAUG